GCCCUGGUAGCACAAAGGCUAAGCAUUCAGCUGCUAACUGAAAGGUUGAUGGUUUGAAUCCACCCACAGCU
rnacentral:tRNA from 1 species